rnacentral:rRNA from 1 species
AUGUUGUGCCAUCACCGAUGUUUAGUAUCCAGUUUGCGAAUUCAGCUGUCUUUGCUUUCUCUUCUGGACUACCUUCUGUUGAAUUCAGACGCAUAUUUUCUGAUUUGCCUGAAGUCACCUCCCAAGACUACUGUCAUUCCUCCAAAUGGUCUAUGCUCAGCGUCCUCAUAUUUGAAUCGAAGUAUGUCUCUCAGACUCUUAUCUAGUGACUCAAAACAGUGCUUGUGUGUCAUUGGUGCUUCAUCCCAUAUUAUAGUGAAGUUUUCUUCAUUAGCUCCGCAAGAAAUGUUCGUUGCUUGA